CCUACGGGUGGCAGCAGUAGGGAAUAUUGCUCAAUGGGGGAAACCCUGAAGCAGCAACGCCGCGUGGAGGAUGAAGGUUUUAGGAUUGUAAACUCCUUUUGGGAGAGAAGAUUAUGACGGUAUCUAACGAAUAAGCACCGGCUAACUCCGUGCCAGCAGCCGCGGUAAUACGGAGGGGGCAAGCGUUACUCGGAAUCACUGGGCGUAAAGAGUGCGUAGGCGGGGUAAUAAGUCAGAUGUGAAAUCCGGUGGCUUAACCGCGGAACUGCAUUUGAAACUGUUACUCUGGAGUGUGGGAGAGGUAAGUGGAAUUCUUGGUGUAGGGGUGAAAUGCGUAGAGAUCAAGAGGAAUACUCGUGGCGAAGGCGGCCUACUGGAACGUUACUGACGCUGAUGCACGAAAGCGUGGGGAGCAAACAGGAUUAGAUACCCGUGUAGUC
rnacentral:rRNA from 1 species